UUGACUGGAAGCUCCACUCAUAUGACUGUGAUUUAGUUAAAGGAAAUAAUUUUCUAUGAUGGAUUAUUUCAUGUUAUGCUCUGUGGAAAUAGUUCAUACUGUUGAAAGGCAAAUCCUGUAUUACACAUAUGUUCAUGAGUAUAGUCCAUUAGACGGGACAUCUGUUUAGAGAUGUUUUAGGCUAUACUUUUAAGGAACAAUACAUAACAUUGAGUACAUGCAAUGUUUUUAUGAACAUAUUUGAUUUUAUUAUUAAUUUUAUCCGUGUUUUUUAAAACAAAUCUGUGAAAUAUUGAAUGGUUAGGGUGAUAAAGAGUAUAAACAAAGGCAUUCAGAUAGUUUGGUGUGUGAGACACUCAGAUCAGUCUUGUGUUCAAUAUACAAACCUUACAAAGACUUUAUAAAAGACUCACUGUAGUAAAUAGGCCAGAGUUCAAGUCCCAGUUCUAUCAUCUGGAUGAACAAUGCCUUCAUUCUGCAUCAGUAGAUUAGGGUUAAUAAUACUUAAUCAAAGGAUACUAAAAAAAGUCCUUACCCAGUGCUAGUCACAUUGUGAGUUUUAACAAACGAUGGUUAUUAUCAUUAAAUGUAAAUUCAUGGGUUAGCUUUGAAGGAAUCUCAUCUCUCACAUGGUAGUGAAUUGCAUAGAUUAUCUGUAAAUGACCUGGUUUAUUUUCAGAACCACCCUCACUUGAUGAUCUCUGUGAGAGUCUUGUUUUUACAUCAGCUGUUGGAUUGGCUGUGAUAAUUCACCUCACAGACCUGCAGGAGUUUUCUACACAGACCAGCAUUUGAACGAAGACUGCACAUUUCAGCAGCACUACCAGCUAGAUGUAAGACAUUCUAUUUCACUUUGUGCAAGCACAGAGCUGAAAGUGAUGGGUGGAUACUACAAGGUGAAUGAGCAGGAUGCAGCUGAAAACCCACAUCCUCUGUGGUGUCCUCCGGGGUCUCCGGACAAGGUCAGCCCCCUUUCCUCUGCAGGGCAUCCUCUUUCUUUGUAAAGUGCCCUGCAGGUGCUCUCUUUUUCCUUCUGAGUCUCUCCCCUGCCAGGCUGUGUUGCUGUGCGUGGGG